UGGCCUCCUUCCACCUCCUCUCCCAAUCCACGAGCGCGUGCGCCCCCCUCCGACCGCUGCAGCCGGCCGGCCACAGAUCCCUCUCGCCCCUCCGGCCGGAUCGGCGAAACCCCCUCCCCCGCCUCCCGCCGCCCGCUCCGACCUCGCCGUCACCGAGCAACAGCAGCAGCGCUCGGCGUCGGCGCGCCUGGCUAGCCCAAGCCUGGCGCUCCCGCUGGAGGAGGAGGACCCACCGGAGCCCAACGCCCCAAGGCCCCCGACGGAGCACGCCUUCGCGAAAAGCCUGGGCUCCCGUCGCUCCGCCUCGGUGUGAACUGCAUGGUGCUAUCAUGGAAAACACAAACAAAGCAAACGGUGAAGCUGAAGCAAUUCUUGCCAGGUCAGGCCACUGCUGAAGGGAUCAGGAUGGUCUCAGUCGUUUAAAACUGAAGGCAGCACAGAGUGCACGAAACGGCGUCACUGCAGCCCAAGUGGAUGAGUCGGCCGCCCACGUCAUAGGUGCCCGGAUACCAGCGGAGGUGACGUUGGAAACUAUGAUGCUCUUCUUUUACUUGUUUUUUGAAGAAGUUAUAGCUUGCCGUAUGUGCAUGGUAGAUUCAGUUCUGCAAGUAGGUAGUAUCUUGAUUUCCACUGUACAUGUAGCGGUGGAGCUGAAAACAAUGCUUUGCGUAUGUUCAUGGCCCUGCCAUGUGCUUGCUCCUGUCUAUGUCCAUGAGCAACAGCAAAAUCAAUCAUUUAGUAGCAUAUCGUUCUUAGACCUUAAUACUUGUCCUAGCAACUGGAUAUACCGAGCCACUCAUUUCUUCUGGAGAAUUGGGUGUCAAGCCAGAUGAUCUUAGCCUGGAGAAAUAUUUUGCUGCUAAAAGUCUUCUUUCAUCAAGGUCCUUCCGUAUAGAUAAAUAUCAUGGUUCUGGAAUGGUUUCCCUGGCUGACAUGUAAGCUACAAUCUACCUCUGUAAUUUGAUUCAUUCUAUCUGCUUAUGUUGCAAAUGCUGCAUCAGUUACGUUGUGGUGACUGGUGGGUUAUAGUGGUUUGAAUAUUAACAUGGAUAUGUGCCCUUCACUGUAUUUGGUUAUUUUAAUCACAAGACUGAUGGUGAACAUGUCCACUUCACUAAGUCAGAAGCCUCAGACUCUGAUGAAGAAGAAGAUGAUGAUGAUCAAAGCAAUGCAGAAGAAAUCGACAUGGGGCUGCGGAGGCGACUACGACGACAUCAUCACGGUGCUGCGACGGCGGCGACGACGACGGCAUCGUCACGGUGCUGUGGCGGCGGCGACGACGACGACAUCAUCACGGUGGUGCGGGGGCGGCGACAACGCCGACGCCGACAUCAACACCAUCAAACACGGGCUUGUGGAGGCGCCGACGCCGACGACCUAUACGCGUGCGUAUAUUGUGUGUGCGUGUAUAUAUGUGUGUAGUAAUUAGCUAUAUCAGAUAUGUAUGUUUGUCUGUACACACAAAAUGUAUGUAUUAUUAAAUGCAUGUAUGUGAGUUCUAUGAAA